GUGAAGCUGGAUUCGCUAGUAAUCGCGCAUCAGCCAUGGCGCGGUGAAUACGUUCCCGGGCCUUGUACACACCGCCCGUCAAGCCAUGGAAGCCGGGGGCGCUUGAAGUGCGUUGCCGCAAGGCGCGCCCUAGAGCGAAACCGGUGACUGGGGCUAAGUCGUAACAAGGUACC
rnacentral:rRNA from 1 species